GGCUUCAUAGCUCAGUUGGUUAGAGCGUCGAGCCAGUGUCGCGAGGUUACGGGUUCAAACCCCAUUGAAGUCC
rnacentral:tRNA from 1 species